CUCUGUGAUCCUAGCAACACGGUCCUGGGUCCUCCCAGAGUGGCUCCCGGGAUGAUGGGAGAGGAUUCUGGGGGCGGGGGGCCCAGCACCCCCAGCAAGGAGGACGGCCUGCCUCCAGAUCGUUCUCUUCUUACAGGCCUGUCCUCGACGUCUCUUCCGUUUCUCUCUGCGGCUCCCACAGGCCCUCUGCUCGCCUGAACCCGUCCGCCCGGACGCCACGCGGGGCCGCCCAGGAGAAACCAGCGGCAGAAUCCUUAGAAACAAAGACGUAACCGCGGACCGGCGGCUCCGAAGGCGGGCGAGGUACACGCCACGCUGACCCAGCAUGCCUCGGGCGGCCCCAGGACUGGCUGGCUGCGGCCACGUGACUGGGCCGCUCGUGAUCACGUCACGGGGCCCGCGCACAAGCCCCGAUCUGCGGCUGCGCGGGGAGGGGCCCCAGAGGCGGGAAGGCCCGGGGGCUGCGGGCCGGUUGCGGGCCGGGCCGACCUGGUCGCGGGAAGAGCUUGCCGCUUGCGUGGUUUGGGGACCGAUGCCCAUCCGGCUCGCGAGGCCUCGUCGUGCGGCCCGGGCGGAGAAGGCCUGCGCCUGCCUUCCUUCCUUCCUGACAGGUUAGGAGUGGAUUUGGGGGCGCAGGGAGCCAGGCGUGCUGGAAAGAACCUAGAAGAAACCGGAGGAACCUUCUAGAAUGUGUGUCUGAAUGAGCUCUGGGAACACUGACCAUACGUUCACAGAUGCUCCCCCAGCGGAGGCCCAGGAUCCCAGGGAGAGGGCGAGAGCCCUGAGCUGCUGAAGAAAUCCUCUGGUUGAGACGAAGGAUCUGUUUUCCACGCACCCGACUUGCUCACUCACUGAGGGCAGAGUUGGCCGAGGGUCGGCACCUCCAGCUGCCGUCUUUGACCUCUGCCUGUCCCGGGAAGUAGGCAGAACGCAGCGAGUGGCCGUGGCGUUCAGCUCCUCUCGCUGAGUUUCUACGGAGAGGACCUCAGAACGAGGAGGAAAGGCAGGUACGUCAUUUGGAGAAAGGACACGGUCACACCGGAGACGCAGUGAGCCUACCCAGUUAGACAGGUAAGUGGGACAGUAGAGCGCACGCACAGCGAGUAAAAGUACCUCCCGGGCCUGGCCAGUAGGAAGGGCUGGACAAGGUGCUGGAGACAGAGCGGAAGUGGACACCACCUUCUGAGGAACGUGUCCUCCCUCAAGCCGGGUGAGCCGUGUAGACCAGAUGUGACCAUCACGUGUGGACCAGACGUGACCAUCACGUGUGGACCAGACGUGACUAUCACUAGCUGACUCUCCCCUUCACGCUUGGAUCUAGGAUAGCUGGCACCCACUUGAAAAGUACAAGGAAGCUACUAGAAAGAUUAGAACUCUUCGCACUUCCAUUUGGAACAUUUUUCAGGUAGCUAAGGGUGGUGAUGAUUUGUUUAUUUUGUCUUUAAAUUCCUGGUAGUUUAGAAAAAUUUGGGGAAACCUGGCAAACUAGUCACAAUCAAGUAGCGGGUGGACAAGCACGUGGUGACAGUGCAGCCGUAAGACCUGAAUUUUAAAAGUCGCCUCAUACUCAGCUGUGCGCACAGCCCCGUCCAGAGCCCUGGACAUCCAUUUAUGAGCCCUGAGGUGCCAGGGUUACUCGUUUCUUCCCUUCCGCUCACGUGACUUUUCUUCAGCGAAGUGUAUGGAACCGUAGUAAGGAAGCAUCGAGUGGAUUACAGAAGCCGGAAGCAUUAGAAAGGAGCUCCCUACAAUGGGCACCGUUCUGCAUAAACACACACAAGACCACUUCUGCACCCCAGAAGGAGGCCCCUCGUGGCUGGCGUGCUCUGGAACCCUGCUUCUGGAAGUUACCCCAUCACGGAUCUGUCUGCAGCAGCGUUUCUGUGCGCCCCGGCUGGGCAGCCCAGUGUUGGGUCAGACCCAGACGUGUGGCGCAGACAGUGUUUACGGCUCGAGGUGAGGUCUCUGGUGUGGCUGCGGCCACUUUGAGUCUGGGCCGUGACAGAUCUGAGAGCAGAAUUAAAAUCGCGGAUCCCUGGCCUGUCCGGAGGCCUGUCCUGGGCCUCCAGCCUGCCUGGGUGAGGGUGACGCCCUGGCCCACACAGUGGCCUCCGAGUCAAGAGGCGUGGCGGCCCCUUCGUGGUAGUUUCUGGCCCAGAUUUUCACCCGAAUUGAGCCAGUGCUCCUGUGUCUUCAUGAAAUGCACCUGUGUGGGGGGUGUGGCCGGCAGGCUCUCCCAGGGUGUUGCUCUGGUUGGUAGUGAACAGUCCUGGGGGCCUGUCCCCGCGUCGGUCUGUGGGUUGCCUCGCCUGGCCUGACGGAGGUGCGGGAGAGCCCCAGCAAAGCCAGGCCGUCCGCGCAGUGCUCUCGGGAUUUGUUGGACUCAGCCUGUCAGAUCUGGACAUUGACCAGGGGUUUUAACUCCUAAGAGGUAACAGACGGUCCCGAAAAGGGUCCUGUGAACAAGCCUUCUGUACUGAGGUCCUGGUGCCAGCGGAGGUAGAGGGGACCCGGUAGUGAUAUGGGCUGAGGGUGUGAUGGCUUGGGGGUCUGCUGCAGACAGAGUCCUCCAUCGGGGGCACUUAAGGGCACAACCCUGCAUCGGGGACACGUGAGGGCACAUCUGUCCAUCAUGGGCACCUGUGGGCCCGUCUCUCAGUUGGGAGCUGUGACUGGGGGUUCAGACGUGGGGUGACAUCUAUGUCCUUCUCUCCCAGGACCACACGUGUGGGAUCAUGCUCUGUGGUAAGUUUACUCAAAAUUUAGGGUUGCAUAGAUGGGAUUUCUCCUCCAUCUGAAAAUACCACGGGCAGAGCGAACACUAGAAACCUUUGUUAACCUAGUUUACUCGGAGAUACCACUUUGUUGUAAAUGUUCCCAGUUUUAAACAGGCGGUCCUCUUCUGUAUUUGGGAGAAGGUUUAAGUUCGUAUGCGAACCAACCCCUGAACAAGUGCACAGCCCUGCUUGCUAAAGCAUGCGACCCACGUGGUCACCCCCCCACGCCAUGGAGACCUCCGCCAACAGGUAGUCUGUUCCCCGGGACACCAGCGGUCUGCCUUCUAGGGGGCGCUUCGGGGCAGGUGGUCCCUCUUGUCACCCGGCCGCCUGCCUGAAGGUCCUUUUGUGGUUGGGUAGCUGUUGCUCACACGGCAGCCCUCAGAAAUUGGGUCCGCUUUCUUCCAGAU